rnacentral:misc_RNA from 1 species
UUCAUUUAUUCAUCAAAAGACUCCGACGUACAGAGACAGGGUUGGUUUGGUCCACCGGGGGCGGCGGAGGCCGCCCUACCCCCGAGGCAAAAGUGGUUUGGUCAACAAAGGGUUGGGGACGGGGGCCCGGGGCCCGCCAUCUCUGGUAAUGAUCCCUCCGCAGGUUCACCUACGGAGA